GUUGGCACAGAUUACCUUGGAAGAACAUUUCCUGUGUGUAGCUGUAGUCUCUGAAGUUGUUUUUGAGGACAAGGACAUUUAGACUUUUGCGAGAAGGAUGUGGAACUGUCCCUCUGACUCCAUGGACGUGUGUAAAGGAACGAAUGAAUGUGCGAAUGCCUCCAUCUUGUCUCCCUGUUCCCUCUCUCUGUGCGUGCUGGAGAAGGCACCUCUCACCCCAGCCCACUUCAGGUGUGCUGGUUGCCUCCGCUGACGCUGGGGCUGCCCCUUUGUGGGGCGAGCACAACGGUCCCAGCGCCACCUAGCGGCCAGGGAGCCUGGGAGUUGCGCGUCUCGUUUCCCAGUCCAUGGGAUCCGCGGACUACGCCACCUCGCAGAGUUCCGACGCUCUGGCCACUGCCUCCGUCUGUUUUGUUCUCUCCGGUCCAGAGAGUGCGGAGACUUCCGGGGAGCGAACGUGUACGGGUUUCCAGAGUAACCCCGACAACAGGCAGUGAGAUGGCAGCUCUGAGCAGCUUGCUCUAGAACCAACUGUGCGUCCUCCACUUGGACCAAUACCAAUGGGAGAAGCUGGCCAAGCUCUGAGAAGCCGUGCACACCCAAGGAGCAGAGAUGCCAUGGCUUUUUGGUGGUAUUGGCAGGAUGAUACCAGAGGCUAAAUGAUAAGAGCUGAAUGAAUUCUCCAGUGGGUUUAGGACAGUCUCUGUGGGAGAAAGUAGGACUUGUGAAACACAGCUGUGACCUUCAGGAUGGCCAAAUUGUGCAGGAGAUUUCUUAUGCAGAGGGCUUGCUCUUGGCUGGACAAUGUGAAGAAUCCUCGUUUUGCUUCUCAGACACCCUGGGACCCAGGAACAGGGAGGUGGCAGGUAGGUGAUGGGGUUGGUCCUGCCUGGGCUUCUCCACAUGCUGUGGUUAGAGCCAUGAAGGACACAGGCUGGGCUUUACUGGGGAACCAGGUGCCUGCCGAUGGUGACACCACACUGAGGAGGCCCGACACAGAGAGACAAGUAAGCUAUGGAUCACUCCCUAGAGAGUCUUCCCCUACUGCCAGUCUCAGCUGGGUCCCCUGUUAAAGGCCACUACAGCUCUCCAUUCUUUGUAUCCCCAGCUCGCAUCACAAUUUUCCAAAUGUGAAAGAGGGGCUGUGGGUGUAGCUCAGUGGUAGGGCACAUGCUUAGCACACACAGGGCCCUGGGUUCCAUGCUCCAUCCUCAGUAGGUG
rnacentral:lncRNA from 1 species